rnacentral:rRNA from 1 species
GAGGGCGACCGGCCACACUGGGACUGAGACACGGCCCAGACUCCUACGGGAGGCAGCAGUGGGGAAUAUUGCACAAUGGGCGGAAGCCUGAUGCAGCGACGCCGCGUGAGGGAUGACGGCCUUCGGGUUGUAAACCUCUUUCGACUCCGACGAAGCGAGAGUGACGGUAGGAGUAGAAGAAGCACCGGCCAACUACGUGCCAGCAGCCGCGGUAAUACGUAGGGUGCGAGCGUUGUCCGG